GUGCACAGACCCGCCGUGUACACCACAACUCAAGUAUACACAAGGCGUCUACAAACCAUAUAGUAAAAGCGUAUAAUUCUAACCAGAUAAUCAGAGCACGACUUUAAAUUUAAACUCCUACAAUCCAAACCUUAAUACAAGAAAUAACAAUAACGUACAAUUAACAAAAGCUUAAUAUACAUCUCUGUACUAAACUAUAUAAACUGCUA
rnacentral:lncRNA from 1 species